UACAGAGGGGGCAAGCGUUGUUCGGAAUUACUGGGCGUAAAGGGCGCGUAGGCGGCCUGCUAAGUCGAACGUGAAAUCCCUGGGCUCAACCCAGGAACUGCGUCCGAUACUGGUUGGCUUGAAUCCGGGAGAGGGAUGCGGAAUUCCAGGUGUAGCGGUGAAAUGCGUAGAUAUGACAUAGAACACCAAUUGCGAAGGCAGCUCGUUACACGAAGAUUGACUCUGAGGCACGAAAGCGUGGGGAUCAAACAGG
rnacentral:rRNA from 1 species